UAUUUAUUAGAUACAAAACCAAUGCCCUUCGGGGCUCCUUGGUGAUUCAUGAUAACUAUACGAAUCGCACGGCCUUGCGCCGGCGAUGGUUCAUUCAAAUUUCUUCCCUAUCAACUUUCGAUGUUUGGGUAUUGGCCAAACAUGGUUGCAACGGGUAACGGAGGGUUAGGGCUCGACCCCGGAGAAGGAGCCUGAGAAACGGCUACUACAUCCAAGGAAGGCAGCAGGCGCGCAAAUUACCCAAUCCCGACUCGGGGAGGUAGUGACAAUAAAUACUGAUACAGGGCCCUUUCGGGCCUUGUAAUUGGAAUGAGUACAAUUUAAAUCCCUUAACGAGGAACAAUUGGAGGGCAAGUCUGGUGCCAGCAGCCGCGGUAAUUCCAGCUCCAAUAGCGUAUAUUAAAGUUGUUGUGGUUAAAAAGCUCGUAGUUGAACCUUGGGCCUGGCUGGCCGGUCCGCCUCACCGCGUGCACUGGUCCGGCCGGGCCUUUCCCUCUGUGGAACCCCAUACCCUUCACUGGGCGUGGCGGGGAAACAGGACAUUUACUUUGAAAAAAUUAGAGUGCUCCAGGCAGGCCUAUGCUCGAAUACAUUAGCAUGGAAUAAUAAAAUAGGACGCGCGGUUCUAUUUUGUUGGUUUAUAGGACCGCCGUAAUGAUUAAUAGGGACAGUCGGGGGCAUCAGUAUUCAACUGUCAGAGGUGAAAUUCUUGGAUCAGUUGAAGACUAACUACUGCGAAAGCAUUUGCCAAGGAUGUUUUCAUUAAUCAGGAACGAAAGUUAGGGGAUCGAAGACGAUCAGAUACCGUCGUAGUCUUAACCAUAAACUAUGCCGACUAGGGAUCGGACGGUGUUAUUCAUGACCCGUUCGGCACCUUACGAGAAAUCAAAGUGCUUGGGCUCCAGGGGGAGUAUGGUCGCAAGGCUGAAACUUAAAGAAAUUGACGGAAGGGCACCACCAGGGGUGGAGCCUGCGGCUUAAUUUGACUCAACACGGGGAAACUCACCAGGUCCAGACACAAUAAGGAUUGACAGAUUGAGAGCUCUUUCUUGAUUUUGUGGGUGGUGGUGCAUGGCCGUUCUUAGUUGGUGGGGUGACUUGU
rnacentral:rRNA from 1 species